rnacentral:rRNA from 1 species
AUGGAGGGCUCCCCCCUCUCGCACUCCUUCUCCGCAUGGAGCGUUAGCAGCCCACACGUCGUAGAUCCACUACCCCUGUGUCCUCCCCACACCGGCCGCCGGUGGCUGCCGCAUAGAUCCGUUCCUCCCCCACCUGCCACACGGGGCGGCGCACGCUGCCAUGCCGUUUGGGUGCAGCCAGACCGCCGCCCCUACCCUCGCGCUCCGGGCAGAGGCUCGUUCUUCUUGGUGGUGACUACACGUUCCUCCCUGGUGGUGGCACUCUGCCGCUGUCUUGCGUUUCUCCCAGUGGCUGCGCCCUUCGACCCCUACCUCGAAUCAAUCGAUCCGGCAAUAGAGAGAUGA